GAGUUUCUGUGGAACUUUCUUGUCACACAGAACUCCUGAUGCAAGCCUCCACUUUGACCACCCCGCUCCUAUACGGUGAGUGACGUCCCCAUCAAUCUUUCCGUCCCCCUGAAUCACCGACCUAAGAUAUCUGACACUGUCCCUCUUGGCGAUGACCUGGGAUCCAAUCAUCACGUCCCUGCCUACCUCGCUCGGCUCGGUGCUAAACUUGAACUCCAGGUAUUCUGUCUUAGAUCUGCUUAUUUUGAAACCUUUAGACUCGAGAGCCUGUAACACUGACCCUCGUCUCGUCUAUCAAGGCUAUGUCAUCAGCAAAUAGCAUACACCAAGCUACAUUCCCUUGAAUAUGUCGGGUAAGAGCAUCCAUCACCAAGGCAAACAAGAGAGGGCUAAG
rnacentral:lncRNA from 1 species